rnacentral:lncRNA from 1 species
AUGUUUGGGAUUGGGAAGAAGCUCGCUGAGGAAGCAACACAACAGGCCGAGAGCGCUGCGCAGGCGGCAGUUAACACAGUGGGCCAGACUGUGCAGCAAGCAGUGGAACAGGCCAAGGACGCUGGUCAGAAAGCUCUCGAUGAAGUCUACAAGGUCGCUGAAACUGGUGAAAAAGCUGUAAAAAAUGUAGCAAAUCAAGCAACUUCCUGGGGCAAAAGCUUUGGACAAUGAAGAUAAUGUAUCACCACUGAACGUAUUCUUAAAUAAAUAAAACCCCUCCAACCUACGUGUCUGGCA